UAAGAGGUCCUGCCUGCCCAGUGACCUAGUGUUUAACGGCCGCGGUAUUUUAACCGUGCAAAGGUAGCGCAAUCACUUGUCUCUUAAAUGGAGACCUGUAUGAAUGGCCCGACGAGGGCUUGACUGUCUCCUCUUUCCAGUCAAUGAAAUUGAUCUCCCCGUGCAGAAGCGGGGAUAACAACAUAAGACGAGAAGACCCUAUGAAGCUUUAGAUAUCAGGGCAGACUAUGUUUUUUACUCCUAAUAAAGAACCAAACUUAAUAGCCCCUGCCCAAAUGUCUUUGGUUGGGGCGACCGCGGGGAAGUAAAUAACCCCCAUGUGGCAGGGAGGACUAACUCCUACAACCGAGAGCUACAGCUCUAAGCAACAAAAUUUUUGACCAAUAAGAUCCGGCAACGCCGAUCAACGAACCGAGUUACUCUAGGGAUAACAGCGCAAUCCCCUUUUAGAGCCCCUAUCGACAAGGGGGUUUACGACCUCGAUGUUGGAUCAGGACAUCCUAAUGGUGCAGCCGCUAUUAAGGGUUCGUUUGUUCAACGAUUAAAGUCC
rnacentral:rRNA from 1 species